GCCGUUGUGGUGUAGUGGUAACAUAAAUCGUUGUGGCCGAUUUGCCGGUGGUUCGAUUCCACCCAACGGCA